UACAGAGGGUGCAAGCGUUGUUCGGAAUUAUUGGGCGUAAAGCGCGUGUAGGCGGCUUUGCAAGUCGGGUGUGAAAGCCCUCAGCUCAACUGAGGAAGUGCGCCCGAAACUGCAGAGCUUGAGUGCCGGAGAGGGUGGCGGAAUUCCCCAAGUAGAGGUGAAAUUCGUAGAUAUGGGGAGGAACACCGGUGCGAAGGCGGCCACCUGGACGGUACUGACGCUGAGGCGCGAAAGCGUGGGAGCAAACAGG
rnacentral:rRNA from 1 species